UGGGGAAUUUUGGACAAUGGGCGAAAGCCUGAUCCAGCAAUGCCGCGUGUGUGAAGAAGGCCUUCGGGUUGUAAAGCACUUUUGUCCGGAAAGAAAUCCUUGGCUCUAAUACAGUCGGGGGAUGACGGUACCGGAAGAAUAAGCACCGGCUAACUACGUGCCAGCAGCCGCGGUAAUACGUAGGGUGCAAGCGUUAAUCGGAAUUACUGGGCGUAAAGCGUGCGCAGGCGGUUUGCUAAGACCGAUGUGAAAUCCCCGGGCUCAACCUGGGAACUGCAUUGGUGACUGGCAGGCUAGAGUAUGGCAGAGGGGGGUAGAAUUCCACGUGUAGCAGUGAAAUGCGUAGAGAUGUGGAGGAAUACCGAUGGCGAAGGCAGCCCCCUGGGCCAAUACUGACGCUCAUGCACGAAAGCGUGGGGAGCAAAACAGGAUUAGAUACCCUGGUAGUCCACGCCCUAAAACGAUGUCAACUAGUUGUUGGGGAUUCAUUUCCUUAGUAACGUAGCUAACGCGUGAAGUUGACCGCCUGUGGAGUACGGUCGCAAGAUUAAAACUUAAAGGAAUUGACGGGGUCAUAGCUGUUUCCU
rnacentral:rRNA from 1 species